rnacentral:rRNA from 1 species
CCUACGGGUGGCAGCAGUAGGGAAUAUUGCGCAAUGGGCGAAACCCUGAAGCAGCAACGCCGCGUGGAGGAUGAAGGCUUUAGGAUUGUAAACUUCUUUUGUUAGAGAAGAUUAUGGCGGUAUCUAACGAAUAAUAAGCGACUAACUCCGUCCCAGCAGCCGCGGUAAUACGGAGGGUGCAAGCGUUACUCGGAUUCACUGGGCGUAAAGAGUGCGUAGGCGGGGUAAGAAGUCAGAUGUGAAAUCCUGUGGCUUAACUACAGAACUGCAUUUGAAACUGUUACUCUGGAGUGUGGGAGAGGUAGGUGGAAUUCCUGGUGUAGGGGUAAAAUCCGUAGAGAUCAAGAGGAAUACUCAUUGCGAAGGCGACCUGCUGGAACAUUACUGACGCUGAUGCACGAAAGCGUGGGGAGCAAACAGGAUUAGAUACCCUUGUAGUC